UUUUAAUUUAAAAACUUUUUGCCUCAUUUCACCAGGACCCUGGCUUGGGGAGCCUCCCUCAUGGUGGGACUCCUGGCUUUGGAUUUCACCUUCUUUCCCCUUCCAAGUGGUGUAGGUAAUGGGCCAUGGGGGCUGGAGCUGGACUUGGCUAAGCUUCCAAGGCCCUCCUGGAGGGCCAAGAGUUGGGCCAGGCUCUGAGGUGUGGGGGAUUCUCCCGUGCCCCGCACCGAAUGAGUUCUGUGAGUGAUGGGGUACUGUGGGCUUCAGGUUGGAGUGGGACUAGUGCCUCAAGGCAGCUUGCAGAUCUUUCAGCCUGAGGGCGAGGCAGGAGGCAGGAUGGAAAGCAACCCUGAGGGGCCUCCCCAGAGCCUUACGCUGCCUGUGCUGGAGCCAUGAAUCUGGAGAAGGAGAAGUAGGAGAAAACCUUGAGGAGUCCCAGGACACCAAAGCUCUGCACUUUGCCAAGCUCCUGAAGCAGAAGAGGAUCACCCUGGGCUAUAUCCAGGCCCAGGUGGGGCUCACCCUGGGGGUGAGCCACCAUGCCCAGCCUCUGGGGGCUCUAUUUGGAAAGGUGUUCAGCCAGGUGACCAUCUGCUGCUUUGAGGCUCUGCAGCUCAGUUUCAAGAACAUGUGUAAGCUGCCACCUUUGCUGCAGAAGUGGGUGGAAGAAGCUGACAACAACAAAGAUCUUCAGUAGAUCUGUAAAACAGAGACCGUCAUGCAGGCCCGAAAGAGAUGGUAAACCAGUACCGAGAACUGAGUGGGAGGCAACCUGGAGAACUUGUUCCUGCCGCGCCUGAAACACACUGCAACAGAUCUCCAGCUUGGGCUGGAGAGGAUGUGGCCCGAGUGUGGUUCUGUAACUGGUGCCAGAAGGGUAAGCGAUAAAGCAGUGACUAUGCACAAUGACAGGAUUUUCAGGCCGCUGGGUCUCCCUUCUCAGGGACCCAAUGUUCUUUCCUCUGGCCCCAGGGCCCCGGUUUGGCAUCCCAGGCUAUGAGAGCCCUCACUUCUCUAUGCUUCGAGGGGAAGCCUUUCCCCCUAUCUCUGUCACCACUCAGAUCUUCCAUGCAUUGGAACUGAGGUGCCUGUUCUUCUGGGAAUGGGAAUGGGGGACAGGGGAAAGGAAGAAGCUAGGGCAGGAGAACCUGGAGUUUGUGCCAGGGCUUUUGGGCUUAAGUUCUUCAUUCGCUAAGGAAGGAACUGGACACACGAAGGUCACUCUGGAAGUCAUCAGUGGGGAAGAAAUGAAUGGAACCACCUUGGUGUUUCCCUUCCCCACAAAGAAAAUUACGGAUUUUGAGGAGACAUGCAGGUAA